rnacentral:rRNA from 1 species
CAGUCGCCGCGGUAAUACGGAGGGUGCAUGCGUUACUCGGAACCACUGGGCGUAAAGGACGCGUAGGCGGAUUAUCAAGUCUCUUGUGGAAUCUAACGGCUUAACCGUUAAACUGCUUGGGAAACUGGUAAUCUAGAGUAAGGGAGAGGCAGAUGGAAUUCUUGGUGUAGGGGUAAAAUCCGUAGAUAUCAAGAAGAAUACCUAUUGCGAAGGCGAUCUGCUGGAACUUAACUGACGCUAAUGCGUGAAAGCGUGGGGAGCAAACAGGAUUAGAUACCCCUGUAGUCCCUGUCUCUUAUAC